AUUGCACGCUGGCGGCAGGCCUAACACAUGCAAGUCGAACGAGUGGCGGAAGGGUGAGUAAUGUCUGGGAAACUGCCUGACGGAGGGGGAUAACUACUGGAAACGGUAGCUAAUACCGCAUACCAUCGGAUGAGCACAGAUGGGAUUAGCUAGUAGGUGGGGUAAAGGCUCACCUAGGAGAAGAUCCAUAGCUGGUCUGAGAGGAUGACCAGCCACACUGGAACUGAGACACGGUCCAGACUCCUACGGGAGGCAGCAGUGGGGAAUAUUGCACAAUGGGCGCAAGCCUGAUGCAGCCAUGCCGCGUGUAUGAAGAAGGCCUUCGGGUUGUAAAGUACUUUCAGCGGGGAGGCGUUACCCGCAGAAGAAGCACCGGCUAACUCCGUGCCAGCCGCCGCGGUAAUAC
rnacentral:rRNA from 1 species